rnacentral:rRNA from 1 species
GGUUAAGCGACUAAGCGUACACGGUGGAUGCCCUGGCAGUCAGAGGCGAUGAAGGACGUGCUAAUCUGCGAAAAGCGUCGGUAAGGUGAUAUGAACCGUUAUAACCGGCGAUGUCCGAAUGGGGAAACCCAGUGCAAUUCGUUGCACUAUCGUUAACUGAAUACAUAGGUUAACGAGGCGAACCGGGGGAACUGAAACAUCUAAGUACCCCGAGGAAAAGAAAUCAACCGAGAUUCCCCCAGUAGCGGCGAGCGAACGGGGAGCAGCCCAGAGUCUGAAUCAGCUUGUGUGUUAGUGGAACGGUCUGGAAAGUCCGACGGUACAGGGUGAUAGUCCCGUACACCAAAAUGCACAGGUUGUGAACUCGAAGAGUAGGGCGGGACACGUGGUAUCCUGUCUGAAUAUGGGGGGACCAUCCUCCAAGGCUAAAUACUCCUGACUGACCGAUAGUGAACCAGUACCGUGAGGGAAAGGCGAAAAGAACCCCGGCGAGGGGAGUGAAAAAGAACCUGAAACCGUGUACGUACAAGCAGUGGGAGCACCUUCGGGUGUGACUGCGUACCUUUUGUAUAAUGGGUCAGCGACUUAUAUUCUGUAGCAAGGUUAACCGUAUAGGGGAGCCGCAGGGAAACCGAGUCUUAACUGGGCGUUAAGUUGCAGGGUAUAGACCCGAAACCCGGUGAUCUAGCCAUGGGCAGGUUGAAGGUUGGGUAACACUAACUGGAGGACCGAACCGACUAAUGUUGAAAAAUUAGCGGAUGACUUGUGGCUGGGGGUGAAAGGCCAAUCAAACCGGGAGAUAGCUGGUUCUCCCCGAAAGCUAUUUAGGUAGCGCCUCGUGAAUUCAUCUUCGGGGGUAGAGCACUGUUUCGGCUAGGGGGUCAUCCCGACUUACCAACCCGAUGCAAACUACGAAUACCGAAGAAUGUUAUCACGGGAGACACACGGCGGGUGCUAACGUCCGUCGUGAAGAGGGAAACAACCCAGACCGCCAGCUAAGGUCCCAAAGUCAUGGUUAAGUGGGAAACGAUGUGGGAAGGCACAGACAGCCAGGAUGUUGGCUUAGAAGCAGCCAUCAUUUAAAGAAAGCGUAAUAGCUCACUGGUCGAGUCGGCCUGCGCGGAAGAUGUAACGGGGCUAAACCAUGCACCGAAGCUGCGGCAGCGACACUAUGUGUUGUUGGGUAGGGGAGCGUUCUGUAAGCCUGCGAAGGUGUGCUGUGAGGCAUGCUGGAGGUAUCAGAAGUGCGAAUGCUGACAUAAGUAACGAUAAAGCGGGUGAAAAGCCCGCUCGCCGGAAGACCAAGGGUUCCUGUCCAACGUUAAUCGGGGCAGGGUGAGUCGACCCCUAAGGCGAGGCCGAAAGGCGUAGUCGAUGGGAAACAGGUUAAUAUUCCUGUACUUGGUGUUACUGCGAAGGGGGGACGGAGAAGGCUAUGUUAGCCGGGCGACGGUUGUCCCGGUUUAAGCAUGUAGGCUGGUUGUCCAGGCAAAUCCGGAUAAUCAAGGCUGAGGUGUGAUGACGAGGCACUACGGUGCUGAAGUAACAAAUGCCCUGCUUCCAGGAAAAGCCUCUAAGCAUCAGGUAACAUCAAAUCGUACCCCAAACCGACACAGGUGGUCAGGUAGAGAAUACCAAGGCGCUUGAGAGAACUCGGGUGAAGGAACUAGGCAAAAUGGUGCCGUAACUUCGGGAGAAGGCACGCUGGUGUGUAGGUGAAGCCCCUGCGGGUGGAGCUGAGACCAGUCGAAGAUACCAGCUGGCUGCAACUGUUUAUUAAAAACACAGCACUGUGCAAACACGAAAGUGGACGUAUACGGUGUGACGCCUGCCCGGUGCCGGAAGGUUAAUUGAUGGGGUUAUCCGUAAGGAGAAGCUCUUGAUCGAAGCCCCGGUAAACGGCGGCCGUAACUAUAACGGUCCUAAGGUAGCGAAAUUCCUUGUCGGGUAAGUUCCGACCUGCACGAAUGGCGUAAUGAUGGCCAGGCUGUCUCCACCCGAGACUCAGUGAAAUUGAACUCGCUGUGAAGAUGCAGUGUACCCGCGGCAAGACGGAAAGACCCCGUGAACCUUUACUAUAGCUUGACACUGAACAUUGAGCCUUGAUGUGUAGGAUAGGUGGGAGGCUUUGAAGCGUGGACGCCAGUCUGCGUGGAGCCAACCUUGAAAUACCACCCUUUAAUGUUUGAUGUUCUAACGUUGGCCCCUUACCGGGGUUGCGGACAGUGUCUGGUGGGUAGUUUGACUGGGGCGGUCUCCUCCCAAAGCGUAACGGAGGAGCACGAAGGUUAGCUAAUCCUGGUCGGACAUCAGGAGGUUAGUGCAAUGGCAUAAGCUAGCUUGACUGCGAGCGUGACGGCGCGAGCAGGUGCGAAAGCAGGUCAUAGUGAUCCGGUGGUUCUGAAUGGAAGGGCCAUCGCUCAACGGAUAAAAGGUACUCCGGGGAUAACAGGCUGAUACCGCCCAAGAGUUCAUAUCGACGGCGGUGUUUGGCACCUCGAUGUCGGCUCAUCACAUCCUGGGGCUGAAGUAGGUCCCAAGGGUAUGGCUGUUCGCCAUUUAAAGUGGUACGCGAGCUGGGUUUAGAACGUCGUGAGACAGUUCGGUCCCUAUCUGCCGUGGGCGCUGGAGAAUUGAGGGGGGCUGCUCCUAGUACGAGAGGACCGGAGUGGACGCAUCACUGGUGUUCGGGUUGUCAUGCCAAUGGCACUGCCCGGUAGCUAAAUGCGGAAGAGAUAAGUGCUGAAAGCAUCUAAGCACGAAACUUGCCCCGAGAUGAGUUCUCCCUGAGACUUUAAGUCUCCUGAAGGAACGUU